UUCUUUUUUAAACUGGCAAAUUCUGAAAAAUGGUUUGUCAUUUGAGUUUUAUUUUCAAACAUGAAAUACGUUUUCCUUAAAGAUCUCUGGCAUUUUAGAAUGGUUUUUCUUUAUGUGGUAGCUAAUUUUUCAUUUGGGUUUGCUCUGUUUCCAUCUAUUGGUAUAAUUUUAAAUAACAUCCAGUUUAUUACACAGUUUAAAUAUCAGGACGACAAACAAUCGCUGACAACACGAGGCAGGGCCUUGGCCCUUUGAGGGUUAUGCCUUUCUUUUUACUUUCCUAUCAGAAGAGGAAACUAAAGACUUCAUGCCUGCGCUGAGCACUCGGUGUCAGAAGCACAGACGGACACGCUCGUGUGGGGUCGCCUGUCAGAAAUUUACAUUACGAUGAUAGUUAUGAUCGUGGGGUCAGCACCACGCGAGGAACUGUACUGAGGGUCGCGGCGCUGGGCAGGCUGAACGCAGAGCCCGGCUGCCAGGCUGAGGAGAGAAGGCUCUGACGCACGGAUGGGCCUGGGUGAGUCCAGCAGCUCUCGGUGACGGUGCGGAGCGCGGGGCCCCGCCAUCACGUCACUUCCCUUUACCAACCCGAGGGCGGGAGCGCUGGUUCCGGCUGGAGUCUGGGGGACGCAGCCCAACAAGUCAGGCAAGGUGCGGCAGGAGGGGCGGGCGGCUGCUGGUCGGCUGCACUUUCCGUCAGGGUCGCUGAGGGGGAACAGGAAAUGGGCGUGGGCUACCGCCUCCCCGCACCCUCUCCUCCAGGGAGGCUCCACCUCCUGGAGCGCCAUAACCGCCACUGCAGCGCUGUCUGCUGGACACCACGUGCUCAAGCCGCCGACCGUAGACGACACCGCAGAUCCAAACCGCUACACCGAGGCCUGCUUCCGUGCUCAACACGGAAUCGACGGCCUUGUACAACGGCCCCACCCGCAAGGCGUAGCCCCAAGGCGCUGUUUGACGCAUCACUUAGAGUCUUUCCCCUGGCAAGAGGAGGUGUGGGGUUGGGAGAGCUGCCUCGUGUCGUUAAUCCUGAAGGCAGAGGCAUCUCCUGAGUGUUAGGAGGUGGUGAGGGGUUUGCAAUCCUCUGUCCUUCAGUCCUGAUCAAGGGGGGUGAUGUAAACCCACUCAACCUCUUCCUAUAGACAGAUGCCUUUCUUGACAGUGCUGGUCCUGACCCCACCUCUUCUCGGUGUCUUUCACGGCCUGGUUCUUUUCUCGGGAGUAGUGGGUCUUCCUUAGGAGCAACUGGAGCAUACCCGGGCACUGCUUGCUUCCGCUGUCUUAGGCUGGCUGCGUGACCCUUCCCUAGAGUAAGCUCUUUUCCUUGAAGAGCUCCUACUCGGUCCGUGGAGUGGUUGGUCCCGGGUCCACGUUUUCUUCUUUAAAAACUUUUCCCGGAAGGAGUUCCAGCAAUUCCUGGACAGAGUUUUCAGGGGCCGCUCCCACCCAGCAUCCCUCAGACGGGCGAGUGCUUGAUUCUGUCUACAUUUCCACGGUCUCAGAGACUCCUAUGGGGUGAAGAACCUGGCUCAGCUGCUGCUCUGCCAUCCACUUUGUGUUGGGACCUUCUGAAAUCUCAUCCACGGACAACCCUCCAGGAGAAUUGCCAGGAGCAGACUCACGGGUGUUCUGCUUGGAGAUGGUCCUUGCAGGAGGAGGAGGAGGUAGGCCAGGGCUGAGGCUUCUGCCGCCCGAGGGCUGUGAGGCGCCAGCACAUCCUCAUACCCGAUGUAUAUUGUUGAGUACAAGUCCCAGCCGAACUCUUCAUUAGCAGGUGUGUGUGUCAAUCAAGUCCACAUUUUUUUCUGACAUGACUUUGGAAAUGAGCUCUCAAGCCCAGAGGACGGACAGGCCCGUGCAGUAUCUGCAAGCAUUUAGCAGGGACUGUGCCAGCAAGCUGCAGUGAACAAGGCUUUCGAAACCUGCGGCUCCAGCCCCAGGAGCUUUGCUCCCCUGAAGACAUCAGGACCACGCAGCUGCUCCUCCAUUUCCUCACUUUCCUUUGCUGCAGAGUUUUCCCUUCCCUUCCCUUCCCUUUUUUUUCUCUCUCUCUCCCUCUCCCACUCCCUCUCCCUCUCCCCCUCUUCCACUCCCUCCCUCUCUCUCCCCCCCUCUAUGUUCUUUGGGAAUUUCACAUUCUGCACCCCAGUCCCACUCACUUCCCAGCCCUUCCAUAUCCACCCUCUACUGUUGUAACCUCUCCUUUACCCCGAAAAAAGAAAAUAAAAAAAACAAAAUGAAAAUUUCAAGAAAAGAAAAAAUAUGGCCUGUGAUGGCAGUAAGAGCAUUAUAUAAAAUAGCAACCCUGACCCUUGAGGCUGAUUUUGUUUGCAAUACCUGAUUUGAUUGAAUCCUGGUACACUUAAAGACAGAAUUCCAAAUUAAGGCUUCCUAUCUCAAAAUGUUUGUAACUAAAAAAAUAUAAUUGACUUUCAAAAAACCAAAACGUUGUAUCCGAGAUGUAAAGGCAUGGUGUCUUACCAUGAACUCAUCAAAGGGGGCACACAGCUGCUGCGGCUACUUACAGCAUUCCGGAGUUUCUGCCUCGGAGGGAUUUGCCCAGGUCACUUUGUAGUAAUUGGCAAAAAACCUGUCGAGUUGUACAGACCACCCAUUGUUGUCUCCUGAAAAGAAAAACCCAGUAACAAGAAAGUUAGAAAAAAACCAAGCAGAUAUAUUUUGCUUUCUUGGCAAAAAGAGUUCCUCUAAGAUAAGCCAGUGAAUCUCACGGGUAGCUAGGUAAUUAUCAUCAAGGACUUCGUACAGGUGUGUACAUCUGUCUGCAGCGCCAGGCCUUGGGGGGGGGGGAUCUCCGUGCUUAUCCAGCGCCCUACUCACUCCCUGCACUUGUGUCAGUGAUGGUCAGAUAUGCUGAAAUGUGAUGUACAUUCGUUCUCCACAUCGUUUUUAUAGUUCCCUGAACCACCUUCAUUAGUUGACUCGGAUUCUCAGCGUGCGUAGACAUGUGUAUUAAUCGAAACCCGUUUUAGAGGCGCACAGACACGGAUAGGAGACUGCGAGAACGGCUCCCAUAUUUUCACGAAGGUGUGGCCUUGUUGGAGCAGGCGUGGCUUUGUUGGGGAGGUGUGUCACUGGGGGUGGGCUUUGAGCUUUCACAAGCCCUGCCAGGUCCAGGAUCUCUUUCUGUGCCUGCUCUCAGCUCAGGCCUGUCUGCUUCCCGCCAAGGCGAACAGAGGCGAAUUCUAUGAGUCUGUAAGCCCCCCGCCCUCCGCUAAUUAAAUGCUCUCUGUCUUUGAUGCCUUGGUCAUCAAGUCUCUUCACAAUACAAGACCGCCAACUGAGCUGGUUGUUAUGAUGAUACGUAAGACACAAAGCAGGAGGCCGAGGAGCUGUCACACUCGGGACAGAGGUGCAGUACAAACGCGGGCACCUGCAUUCAGCUCCCAGAAUCCACGCUAAAACAAAACGAAACAAAACUGUGUACGGUGGCAUGCUUUUGUAACCCCUGUGCAGGGAAGAGAAGACAGGAAAGCCUGACUGUAAGAGUGGAGCUGACUCAAGACCAAGGCUCUGGGUGCUGCAGGCAGCAGAGCUGGGAGAGAAAAGCGUCUGCUAAGUCCUGCGCAGCCUGGACUGCUCCAUCAAGGGCUUCGGAAGCUGGGCGAGGGACUGUGGGAGGUGGUGUUUGCCCUGUUGGUCUCUGGCCUUGCCCUUUUGAUCGCUAUGUUGAUCUUUUCUCCCUAUGCUCCUGUUUUUCUCUGAUGGAAUGGGGGCAGGUAGUCUGUGCCUGCAGAUAGCAGAACUCACUGUGACUUUACAGUUCACGGCUAAGGCACCGAGUCCGGCAUCAGAAGACUUUGGACUUGUAAAUGAUGUUGAAACUGCUAAAGCCUGUGUAGACCUUCGAAGUUGGAAUAGAUGCACUCUGUACUGAGAAGCCCGUGAGCCUUCGGGGACAAGGAACAAUUACUGCCCAGCAGAGAUACGAAGGUGGCAAGUUGGUAGGGGAUAGACCUUCGAUAGUUUACGCUGCCAACGUGACCUCAGUCACUAAAGCGCCAGGCUUUAUCUGUGAGGGAGUCGUAGAUUGGGUUAGUUGAGGUGAAGUACCCCCAGGAGAUGUGUGCCGAACCACAGCAUAGCUUAGGCUCCCAGACUGACUGAAAAGAACGUACGGUCAGCGUGGUCACUCAUCGCCCUCGGUGCUCCCUUUUCUUCAGCACUGAGGACUGAAUCUAAUCAUGCUCACUCACGCUCUUCCGCUGUGCUACAGCUGCAGCCCAACGCUGCUUCCCGACUGUGGGCGGAAGGUGGCCAGCUGCCCAGAGCCUCCGGGUACUGGGACCCCUGCUGUAAUAAGCUGUACCCCUGAAGUGUGUGUCCAAAAUAAACCUGUGUUCCCUAAGUUGCACUUUUUUGUUGAAGCAACAGAACAAGUUGCUGAGGCACCCACGUGUUUGUCAGGUUUUGAGGUUUGUGGCACUGGAAUCGCCCCUUUUCUAGCUUUGGAAGUUUGUUGCCUUCUUUGCAAAAAUUUAUUCAUUCUUUUAAUUAACGCAAGUAUCUAGGAAUUAGAAUUUAAGUUUUUUAUUACUAGACUUGAGGAACUUAUUGAAAAUUACAAUGUGUUACCAAAAAUUUCAAAAAUAAAUUCACUUUUCAGGGCAGCAUUAUGAGUUGUUAUUAUGUAUUUGCAAAUAAAAUGUGGAAAUAGGUGA